rnacentral:rRNA from 1 species
UACGUAGGAGACGAGCGUUGUCCGGAGUUACUGGGCGUAAAGGGUGCGCAGGUGGCGGCGCGCGUGGGGGGUGAAAUCGCCCGGCUUAACUGGGCGGGGGCCUUCCAGACGGCGUGGCUUGAGCAGCGGAGGGGGACGUGGAAUUCCGGGUGGAGCGGUGAAAUGCGUAGAGAUCCGGAGGAACACCGACGGCGCAGGCAGCGUCCUGGGCCGCUUGCUGACACUGAGGCACGAAAGCUGGGGGGAGCAAACAGG